GAAUUCGUUGGGAUCUUAAGGAUAUGGCAGGAGAAAGGGCUUUGUUGAAGUUUCUUAAGCCUGGGCUUCGUCCACACCCCGCUGAUGUCCAAGCCGCCGCCAUGUGGGGUGUCGCUGCCACUACUGGCGCUCUUUGGUUCAUCCAGCCGUUUGAUUGGUUGAAGAAGACCUUUCUGGAGAAACCAGAGUCGGAGUAGAAGCGAACGGGACUUCAAUGUCUUCUAACUUGUUGCGGUUUUGUAGGUCAGGUUUUGCUGAUGAGGGAAUCAU